UUCUGUUUCAUAACUGAUUUCCAUUUCAGCUUAGCUAUGAGCUCACAUUUGCCAAUGUAGUGUUCCAGACAGUUUUAUCAUCCACAUUGCUGACCUGGAAGAUGCAUCAUUGUCUAUGAUAUCUGCAAUGGAAAUGAUCACUAGGCAAUUUCAGCCUUGCAAAUCUAACUGUGGCGUGUGGAAAGAAGAGGAACCAGAAAAGAAUGUUUGUGAAGUUCUGGCUUGAAUCUCGUGCCGGGAGUGUGAAGAAGGUCCUUGCUUCCCCUUCACCUUCUGCCAUGAUUCUAAGUUUCCUGACGCCUCCCAGCCGUGCUUCCUGUUAAGCCUGUGAAACUGACAUUACCUGUUGAUUCUUGGGCAAGGCCCAGAAUUUGGUGGACAUACUUAAAGAAGAAAGGAAUCUUCAGCUAAAGUGUCUACGAUCAAUUCAGAUUUGGAGGGCAUGGAUCUUCUGACAGUAGGGGCCAUUCUAGGAUUUUUUGGUUGAAGAGAUGAACUUCAACUUGGUUCCAGAUGGGUGGUCCAGCUAUUCUGCUGACAACAUUUUUCAGGGCAAGGCUUUUGCUACUGGAAUGAUUUAAGGAAGAUCCCUCAGUGUUUCAGAGUAAAGAUAUUUCUAAAGAAGUACCUGUGUCAUUGCCCAUCUUGAAGAUUGACUUUUAUGGAUUGCUCAAAUACUGAUAUCAGCUCAAUGUCAAUAUAUACUCCUACAUAUAAAAUCCAUCUUCUAAUCAUAAUCACUAGGUGGAUAUUGUUAUGCAAGGAAGAGAUGUGAAUAUACAGGAAAUGAGAUCCUUAAAGGGGUUGCCGUCCAGAUGUUAGAUCAAAGAGAUUAUGAUUCAUUCAACCAAGUCGCUGGACUUUUGAAGGCCUAUCCAAGUCAUGGUGCCUUUGAGGUUGCGCCUGUUACUAUUCAAAACUUGGUUUUAACCAUUUAAGGCCAUGAGGUGUGAGGUCUUUUGAGAGUGAAAGAACUCAUAUUAAUCCAGCUCCUGACUCCUAAAAAAACAGUAACUCUUGUAAUUAAAAUGGGCAGAGUCCAUCAAGAAGCAGUGUCCAGAAGCACUGGGCCAUGUGGCGAGCAGCAGUGUCACCAGGAAACAUGCCGAGCUGGGUCAGGAACUGCGCAAGGAGGAGGAGACACUGCUCCUGUUGAAGGCAGCCCUCGCAUGACCUGCUGAAUCACAUCAAGGUUGAAGCAUUGGCCCUCCAAUCAAUGAUUAGUUCUGGGAGAGGGGAUGAGGUGCUGUCUUCUCCAACUUCUCCAACUGUGCCUGAACAGUCACACGUCAUGUCAGUGCAUAUAGAGAAUGAAGCAUCAGUCAACCAAACUACGCUGGAGUGGAGCAUAGAGUCCUGUGACAGAAGAGGAGGAGGAAGAGAAAGAAGAAUCAGAUCCCUAAAGGAGGGAAAAAGCCAGGAUUCAUUAUACAAAUUAAAUUUCUAAGUCUCAGGCUCUUUCUCCCCAAGGAAAUCAUCUUGCCAUGAGCCCUAGGGCCUGCUUGAAUGGAGAGCAAGAACUAUAGGAGGAUGUGUAGCUGCAAAAAUUUCUCAUCAAUAACUCAAUCUUCAGAACGUUAUGACAUACAGAAAAUCAAAGAUGCUGUGUCUUAGCAUUGAGCAAUAUGGGUGGUGCUAUGUCUGUAGUCUGGUCAAAUUCAGUAACUGUGUUCAAAACAAAAUUUCCUCUGGAAUACUAUUGAGAAAAUCUGGCAUUUGCAAAAAGGGCAGAGUUUAAAUAUGAGCCAGUCUUUCCAAUCAACAAUACCUCUUUUAAGAAAACCAACUAACAGCUGUUUGCAUGCCGUUGAAUCCUUGUGAGCAGUUAGGCCACAGUCUAGGACAGAAAGAUGACACGGGGAAGGACUGAGGGCCAUCUGAGAACAAAAGUUGUUGCUACUUCUCAGAGGCAUUGAGACACACUGCAUGCUGUAGACUGCUUUGUGUAACUGUUGUCACAUCUUGCUUGAGAUGUCAUUGGCAGAAUGUUCUUAAAAAUAAAUUAUAGAUAAAUAGCC
rnacentral:lncRNA from 1 species